AGCGAACGUUAGCGGCGCGCCUAACACAUGCAAGUCGCACGAGAAACGGAGCAAUCCGCGGUACAGUGGCGCACGGGUGAGUAACACGUGGAUGACCUUCCCUGGAGUGGUGGAUAACCUGCCGAAAGGCGGGCUAAUACAGCAUGGGACCACGACGCUUUGGCGAUGUGGUGAAAGCGGGCCUCUAUAUAUAAGCUCGCGCUCCGGGACGGGUCCGCGUCCCAUCAGCUAGUUGGUGAGGUAACGGCUCACCAAGGCUUCGACGGGUAGCUGGUCUGAGAGGAUGGCCAGCCACACUGGAACUGAGACACGGUCCAGACUCCUACGGGAGGCAGCAGUGGGGAAUCUUGCGCAAUGGGCGAAAGCCUGACGCAGCGACGCCGCGUGGGCG
rnacentral:rRNA from 1 species